GACGAACGCUGGCGGCGUGCUUAACACAUGCAAGUCGAACGGGCCUUGUCCCCUUUUUUUUGGGGGUGGGGUUAGUGGCGAACGGGUGAGUAACACGUGAGUAACCUGCCCCUCACUUCUGGAUAACCGCUUGAAAGGGUGGCUAAUACGGGGUGUUCUGGCCUGCUCGCAUGGGUGGGUUUGGAAAGAUUCGACCGGUUUUGGUUGUUUUGGUGGGGGAUGGGCUCGCGGCCUAUCAGCCUGUUGGUGGGGUGAUGGCCUGCCAAGGCUUUGACGGGUAGCCGGCCUGAGAGGGUGGGCGGUCACACUGGGACUGAGACACGGCCCAGACUCCUACGGGAGGCAGCAGUGGGGAAUAUUGCACAAUGGGCGCAAGCCUGAUGCAGCGACGCCGCGUGAGGGAUGGAGGCCUUCGGGUUGUGAACCUCUUUCGCCAGUGAAGAAGGUCCUGCUCUUUGUGGUGGGGUUGACGGUAGCUGGGUUAAUGAAGCGCCGGCUAACUACGUG
rnacentral:rRNA from 1 species